rnacentral:rRNA from 1 species
GGGGGCCCGCAAGCGGUGGAGCAUGUGGUUCAAUUCGACGCAACGCGAAGAACCUUACCUGGGCUCGAAGCGCAGUGGACCGGGGUGGAAACAUCCCUUUUCGCAAGAACUGCUGCGGAGGUGCUGCAUGGCUGUCGUCAGCUCGUGUCGUGAGAUGUUGGGUUAAGUCCCGCAACGAGCGCAACCCUUAUCCCUAGUUGCCAUCAGGUCAAGCUGGGCACUCUAGUGAAACUGCCUCGGAUAACGAGGAGGAAGGUGGGGAUGACGUCAAGUCCUCAUGGCCUUUAUGUCCAGGGCUACACACGUGCUACAAUGGUCGGUACAAACCGUCGCAAACCCGUGAGGGGGAGCUAAUCGGAAAAAGCCGGCCUCAGUUCGGAUUGGAGUCUGCAACUCGACUCCAUGAAGCUGGAAUCGCUAGUAAUCGCGGAUCAGAACGCCGCGGUGAAUACGUUCCCGGGCCUUGUACACACC